rnacentral:antisense_RNA from 1 species
CUUCACCGAACCCAGCCGCAGCGGCUCGCCACCGGGCCGGUCCUGGCCGUAGGUGGCCAGCAGGGCCUGCGCCUC